GGCCAAAAUACAAAAGGUUGAUCCAAGUGCCGAAAUAUUUGCAGAUCAAAUCAGAGGAGAUGUAAAACUUUACGGUACAGAACAAAGCUUUGAGACUAUUGAAUCAUUGGUCUACAAAGAAGUGGACAACAUAAGAAAAUCCCAGCUCAUUGAACCAGUAAUGAGAGAUGAAUUUGAUGGCCUGGACCAGCUGCUUGAUUUUAAUGACCCAAUGUCUACCACCACCCAAAGUCAUGUAGAGGAAAUCAAACUGACAGAGAGAAUGAGAGACAUUUUGCUGGAUUCCAAAACUAUGAAGUUGAAGGAAAUUCAGCAUCUUCUCAUCAAGAGAGGAAAAGAAGGUACAAUUCAAGAGACACAGCAGUCCUUACGAUUGCACGCAUCCACAAAAGAGGAUCUAGAGGAAAUUUCUGCAAUGAUACAUGAAGCAGUGACCAAUGAAAGCGGCAAAUUCACAAAGGUUGUAAAAAUCACUCCUGGUAUUUGGAUGGCUCUCAUGGAAGGGAAAGGUCAAGAAUUGCAGGACAAGUAUGGGACAAGACUGUUAACAUCCAAACUAAAUUCAGCAGACACUGAUAAUCUAGAAAUUGUGUAUGAGAAUCCCAAACAACUGGAACUGGUGACAUCAGAGGUCAAGGGACUGCAUAAUCCAAAUGUACUUAGUCACCAGGUAUUUGUGCGAUCUGAAGAGUACAAACAACUAAUGACACACAAGGAUGAAGUUCUUAGGGACAUUCAGACACAGGCCCAUUGUUUUGUUGACAUUGAUGAUGUUAAAGAAAAACGGGGAGGAAAGGGUGGAGUGGUGACAAUACUUGCCAAAUCUCGACUAGAUCUCGACUCGGCCGUAACGAAGAUCAAUCAGUUUGUAGGAUAUUCAGUACCAAACAUAGAACAGAGAUCAAAAAGAGUACCUAAAGAAAAGCCCCAAAAAUACUUUCUGGACCAUCAAGAAUUGGAAUACCUCUUCUCUGAAGCCCUGGACAAGAGGGAAAUAACUGACACUCAGUUCAUCAACAUCCCGGAGGAUUUCAGUUUUGAUACAAUGGAGUCAUCGAACAUUUGGACAAAGGAAGACUUGAAAAAACCCUCACGCCAAGAUAUGACAGACAACCUUUAUUACCAGUUGCUUAGAGAGAGAAAGGAGAAUCUACUCACCAACCGCAUACCCUAUAAUGGCUAUGAGGAGAUGAUUAAGCUGACCAAUGAGGGGAAGAUGUGGCACUAUCCUAUUGAUAACGAACAAGGUACAUGUGAAUGGAUGAAGAGAAAGCCGUGUCAUUUGCAGAACAUGUCUUUUUCGAUGACAUGUUGGAGGAUUUCCCCAAGAGUGGCCCCAUCAGGAACUACAUGGAACAGGUGACGGUGGGUCUAUCCCAGAAUCCACAUUUAACAGUGGAAGAGAAGCGGGAACACGUCGCCUGGUAUAAGAACUAUUUCCAAGGGAAAGCUGAAACUCUCAAAGACUUCUUUGGCGAGACUGGUGAACUAAAAGAUUUUCUGUCAAAGGAAAAUUCAAAACAGAAAAAAGAGUCAUUAAGUGAUUAGAUUUAUUUUUCAGUUAAAUGUUGUUUAUGAUAUAUUUCUGAAUAGGAUUUUGUUAGUGUGUGUUUGUAUUUGGAAAGAGAAAUGUCAGUAUAAGUUAAAUUCAGUUUUGAAGGAGAUCAUUUUUUUCAUUGACAUUUUAUUUUUGUGAUAUCAUGUUUUUACUUUGUGAAUUGUAUUAUAUGAAAAUAUGUUUGUAUGUAGAUUAAAGACAAUGCAUAUGUUGACAGAAGUUACAUUAUGAUCAAUCUAUUAUUCUAUGAUCAUAAAAUCUU
rnacentral:misc_RNA from 1 species